rnacentral:rRNA from 1 species
GACGAACGCUGGCGGCGUGCUUAACACAUGCAAGUCGAACGGUGAAGCGCCUUCCUUUUUGGUGGGUGUGGAUGAGUGGCGAACGGGUGAGUAACACGUGAGUAACCUGCCCCCUUCUUCUGGAUAACCGCAUGAAAGUGUGGCUAAUACGGGAUAUUCUGGGUCUGUCGCAUGAUGGGUCUGGGAAAGAUAUUGUUUCGGUGGGGGAUGGGCUCGCGGCCUAUCAGCUUGUUGGUGGGGUGAUGGCCUACCAAGGCGGUGACGGGUAGCCGGCCUGAGAGGGUGGACGGUCACACGGGGAAUGAGACACGGCCCAGACUCCUACGGGAGGCAGCAGUGAGGAAUAUUGCACAAUGGGCGCAAGCCUGAUGCAGCGACGCCGCGGGAGGGAUGGAGGCCUUCGGGUUGUGAACCUCUUUCGCCAGUGAAGCAGGCCUGCCUCGUUUGUGGGUGGGUUGACGGUAGCUGGAUAAGAAGCGCCGGCUAACUACGUG